rnacentral:rRNA from 1 species
AAAUGAAUUGACGGGGGCCGCACAAGCGUGGAGCAUGUGGUUAAUUCGACGCAACGCGAAGAACCUUACCAGGGCUUGACAUCCCCUGACCGCGUAUGAAAGUACGUUUUCACCCUCGGGUGACAGGGAGACAGGUGGUGCAUGGUUGUCGUCAGCUCGUGUCGUGAGAUGUUGGGUUAAGUCCCGCAACGAGCGCAACCCCUACGUUUAGUUGCUAACGCGUGAAGGCGAGCACUCUAGACGAACUGCCGUUGACAAAACGGAGGAAGGUGGGGAUGACGUCAAAUCAUCAUGCCCCUUAUGUUCUGGGCUACACACGUGCUACAAUGGCCGGUACAGACGGACGCAAAGCCGCGAGGUGGAGCAAAUCCUAAAAAGCCGGUCUCAGUUCGGAUUGCAGGCUGCAAUUCGCCUGCAUGAAGUCGGAAUCGCUAGUAAUCGCAGGUCAGCAUACUGCGGUGAAUACGUUCCCGGGCCUU